AGUAUAUAAUGUACGUGACCUUAAUUAGUUAUUGAACCAACUAAACCCUCAAUUUCUCCUCUUCUUCCCUUCCCUUUCUUACAGAUUCCCAUGGCAAGGCCAUUAUUUUUUACGUCCAAACCACAAAACCUUCCAUUUCUACCAUUAAUUAGCAUCUUUUUAACAGCAAUUACCAUCUUCUCUAUCCUCUCAUUCCUCUGUACUUCUCAUCGUAAGACCAAGAAAUCGCAAGAAUCAAACGAUCAACAAAACUCUUCUUGUUCUAAUUCAUCAUCUUCACAGUUUUCUAGUGAGAGAAAGCUUUUCUCUAAGCUGAACAGUAAAAUUAGCAGUAAAGCUGUGUUAAUGGUGAAGAUGGUUUCUUGGAAGAAAAAUAAUCAACAUGAUGGGUAUGAUGCUGUUGCUGUUGUUGACGAUGAUGAUGACAGUGAAGAAGGUGUUUGGAGAAAAUCAAUCAUGAUGGGAGAACGGUGCCGUCCGUUGGAUUUUUCAGGGAAGAUUGAGUAUGAUUGUGAAGGGAAUCGUCUUGAUCAUGUUCAUGUUCUUGUUCAAAGUGGUAAAAUUGAUCCUUCGAAAAUUUGAUCACAUGUCAUUUUUUUGUUUGAAGAGUAUAAUUGUAAAGAGAAAGAAUGCCAAAGUUGCUGAACUUUGGAGGGGCAAUUGGAUCCUUCCUGAUCCCAUUGACUCAGAGACAGAGAGAGCCUGGGAAUUUAUCAGAAGUAAUUUCAAGGUGACUAAUGACAGAGAUAGUAUCAAUUAGAAAGUUGUUAACAACAAUAGAUUCUCUAUCUCCAAUACUAGAGAUAUCUACAGAACUCAUUAUGAGAAAGUGGCUUGGCAUAAGUUAGUUUGGGGAAAGAAUUCUAUCCCUAGACACAAUUUCAUCCUGUGGAUUAUUUUGAAGAACAGGCUCAGAACCAAAGAUAGGCUCGGGAAGUGGGGAGUCAUUGAUGAGGAUAAUUGUGUGUUGUGCCAGAGUGAUGUGGAGACUAGUGACCAUAUCUGCUAUGAUUGCCCUAUUUCUAAAGCAGUAUGGAGUAAAAUUUUGUGCAUCUGUAAUUGUCCUGUUAUUAGCAACUGGAGAAAGAACCAUCAGCUGGUUUUGCAGGAAGACCAAAGGCAAAGAUGUUAAAGCUGCUCUGAGAAGGAAUUUAUUAACAGCCACUAUGUACAAUAUCUGGAAAGCUCGCAAUUUGAAGAUCUUUUCUAAUGAAGACCCAGAUAUCAACACUGUCAUUAAAAGGAUCAAGAUGGUUAUCUUGGCCGAAUUUGAUUCUUGUAAUGAUAACUCCUCUAUUUAUCAUGAUAUUUGUAGUAUUCGUAGGCUUUAAUUAGCUUUGUUGUUCUUGCUUUGUUUCUCUUUGUGAGCUAGUGAGCCUAGGUUGCCUGCGUGCUUCUCUGUUUUGACUUGAGGUUUCGUAGCUGUUUAGGCAGUUUGCCUUAGUUGUAAUCUUUAUUACUUGUCUAGUAAUGAAGCUCUUUUUUUUUGGUUUUCUCCAAAAAAUAAAAUUGAGUGUAAACAACUUGCAAGUUUAGCGCUUUUGAAAAGUUUAGACUUGUGUAGUAUAUUCUUUUGAUUUCUCAA